CCUACGGGUGGCAGCAGUGGGGAAUAUUGGGCAAUGGACGCAAGUCUGACCCAGCAACGCCGCGUGAAGGAAGAAGGCUUUCUGGUUGUAAACUUCUUUUAAGGGGGAAGAGCAGAAGACGGUACCCCUUGAAUAAGCCACGGCUAACUACGGGCCAGCAGCCGAGGUAAUACGUAGGUGCGAGGCGGUGUCCGGAUUUACUGGGUGUAAAGGGCGUGCAGCCGGGAAGACAAGGGAGAUGUGAAAUCCAGGGGGUCAACCGCGGAACUGCAUUUGAACCUGUUUGUCUUGAGUAUCGGAGAGGUACGCGGAAUUCGUGGUGUAGCGGUGAAAUGCGUAGAUAUUAGGAAGAACACCGGUGGCGAAGGCGGAUUACUGGAGGACAACUGACGGUGAGGCGCGAAAGCGUGGGGAGCAAACAGGAUUAGAUACCCGAGUAGUC
rnacentral:rRNA from 1 species